CCUACGGGGGACAGCAGUGGGGAAUAUUGGACAAUGGUGGAAACCCUGAUCCAGCGAAGCCGCGUGAGUGAAGAAGUAUUUCGGUACGUAAAGCUCUAUCAGCAGGAAAGAAAAUGACGGUACCUGACUAAGAAGCCGCGGCUAACUACGUGCCAGCAGCAGCGGUAAUACGGAGGGGGCAAGGGUGAUACGGAUUUACUGGGUGUAAAGGGAGCGUAGACGGCAGAGCAAGUGUGGAGUGAAAUGCCGGGGCCCAAACCCGGAACUGCCCUGGAAACUGUGAAGCUGGAGUGCAGGAGAGGUAAGCGGAAUUCCCGGUGUAGCGGUGAAAUGCGUAGAUAUCAGGAGGAACACCGGUGGCGAAGGCGGCUUACUGGACUCUAACUGACGUUGAGGCUCGAAGGCGUGGGUAGCAAACAGGAUUAGAUACCCUGGUAGUC
rnacentral:rRNA from 1 species